GUAUUUGGCAGGACAUCUACUAAAACUGGAAUGAUACAAAGAAGAUUAACAGGGCUUCUGUGCGAGAAUGGCAUGCAAUUUGGGGGAGCAAUCCCAGAAUAAG